rnacentral:tRNA from 2 species
GUCUUCGUAGCUCAAUUGGAUAGAGCGUUGCCCUCCGAAGGCAAAGGUUGUGCGUUCAAGUCGCACCGAGGACG